AUGGUGGUCCCCACCCAGCCGGCCAGGCGCCUCCAGCCUCGGAAAUCCAGCUUUCCGGGGGACGGGGACGAGGCUCCUGGCCCGGGCGGGGGCGACGGGGCAGCGGCUGGCGGCGGCGGCGGCGGGGGUCUCGGCGGCGGGGGGCGCUCGGCUCAGCGGCGCGCAGGGGCCGGGGCGCGGCGUCCCAUCGGGGCGGCCCCGUCCGUGGGACCGGGCGGCGAGCUGCAGGGUUGGGGGAGGAAGUCAGGCUGCAGGCCGCCGGGGCCAGAGGGCUGGGCCGGGGGCAGGAAGCUGCGGCGCUGGCUCCCCCCUCGGCGAUUUUCGAACUUCUGCUGUCGCUCCCCGUGCGCGCAAACCGCAGUUCGCCGCCGCCGCCGGGCACCCAGCCCCAGGGGGGCGGGCUGGAGGGAGGGGGCGGGCGCCGGGUGCCGGCCGGGGGACCCCCGCAACCAUGGCGGGCGGGGAGUGGGCUGCCGAGCCGCUUCACCUGCCGCAGAGGGGGCGGCCGGCGCCGCUUCACCUGCCGGAGCAGGAGGCCACCGAGGCGAGGCCGAGGCGGCGGCGCGCUCGGCGGCGCCUCCGGGUCCUAGAACCGCAUCCUCCCGCUCGCCUCGGGCGAGGGAUUGGCCGGGUCUGGGUGAAGGGGGUCACGGCCUGGGGAUCGGAGGGGCACAUCUCCUCCGCACCGAGGAUCUCAACGACUGCGAGCACGGCUCGGAGACCCACGGUGGUGCAGCGUUGGCGCGCCAGGGCUGCGUUCCCGUCUCGGGUCCCGAACUGAGAAGAAAUACUUCCAGAGCUCUUUCAUUCAUCCGGACAAUGGCCAGAGAAGAGCCACUGACGAGACUAAGCAAGAGACGGAAAGUUAACAUCUAAUCUGGAGGAAGACCCUGGAAGGAGCCAGCCCCUUCCCCCAGGUUGACCUGGUUUAAGCCUUUCUUCUGCCAAGGUCACCAGCACCCCAGAUGGGUGAGAGAUGUGAUCACUGGUUUCGUGGCCUGACCAAGGACCUCCAAGAUCUGUGAGUUACAAAAAAAAAUGAGAAGAUGGAAUCAAUUAUUACGUAGUAAAUUUCAUUGGCUUGGCGGGAGGUAUCUUUCCCAUCUUGGCCCACAGAGGAGGAAAUCCUAGAAGGGGUGACUGAAGCUUGAGACUAACACAUUGGUGGAUCUGUGCUACCCCCUGCUGGCCACUGACGGUAUGACAGCCAAGAUAGGGCAAGGCUUCGAGGGGCGAUGGAUGGAUUCACCGCAGCGGAGACAUUUCUGGACGGUUGUCACCUUCAGUGCAGUCACUGGGGAUAUUCAGAACCCAGGUGAUUGAUAAGGUUUCCCCAGGGAUCUCUUCUCUCCCCUUCACCAUUACUCAGUAGAAGCCUCCUUAAAAACGGAAAACGAGAGGCCGGGCGCGGUGGCUCACGCCUGUAAUCCCAGCACUUUGGGAGGCUGAGGCGGGAGGAUCACGAGGUCAGGAGAUCGAGACCAUCCUGGCUAACACAACCCCGUCUCUACUUAAAAUACUAAAAAUUAGCCGGGCGUGGUGGCACGCGCCUGUAGUCCCAGCUACUCAGGAGGCUGAGGCAGGAGAAUCGCUUGAACCUGGGAGGCGGAGGAGGUUGCAGUGAGCUGAGAUGGCGCCACUGCACUCCAGCCUGGCCUACCAAGACCCCGUCUCAAAAAGAAAAAAAAAAAAAAGGAAAAAGGGGCUGGGCGUGGUGUCUCACGCUUAUAAUCCUAGCACUUUGGGAGACCAAGGCAGGCAGAUCAUGAGGUCAGGAGUUCGAGACUAGUGUGGCCAACAUAGUGAAACCCCAUCUCUACUAAAAAUACAAAAAAUUAGCCAGGUGUGGUGGCGCGUGCCUGUAAUCCUAGCUACUCGGGAGGCUGAGGCAGGAGAAUGGCUUGAACCCAGGAGGCCGAGGUUGCAGUGAGCCCAGAUCACGCCAUUGCUAUCCAGCCUGGGUGACAGAGCAAGACUCCGUCUUGAGGAAAAAAGAAAAAGGGGCCAGGCAUGGUGGCUCACACCUGUAAUCCCAGCACUUUGGGAGGCUGAGGAGGGAAGAUCGCUAAAACCCAGGAGUUCAAGACUAGCCUGGGCAACAUGGUGAGACCCCAUCUCUACAAAAAAAAAAAAAUCUGGGCAUGAUGGUGCGCACCUGUAGUCCCAGCUAUUCGGGAGGCUGAGGUGGGAAGAUUGUUUGAGCCUGAGAGGUCAAGGCUGCAGUGAGCCAAGAUCGCAUCACUGCACUCCAGCCUGGGUAACAGAGCAAGAUCCUGCCUCAAAAAAAAAAAAAAAAAAAAAAAAGGAAAAA